AUGAAUAUAUUUAAAUAAUUUCUUUCUGGACGACCUUUUCAAGUCAGUGUCAUAUGUUUCUCAUCACAUGAAGAAUGCAGAUGUUUAGGGAGGACUCAAACUAGUCAAAGUGUGCUAUAGUCUGCUUUGGAGAAAAGACCCUUCUAGUUGUUAGUAAACUGCAGUGGUGCAGUGGGCCUAGUGGCAAAGGCCUGUCAUUCCAGUUUAUUGGGGGAAGCUGAGGCAGGAGGACCACCUGUUCAAGACUUGCUUGGUCUACAGAGUGAGUUCCAGGGUAACUUGGUGAGAAGCAGUCUGAAAAUAGUUAGAGAGAGGAGGCUGGAGAUGUAAUUCAAUGGCUUGCCUACCCUGUACAGGGAGCUAGGUUUAAACCUUAGUGUUGGAAAAAGUACAGUUCUCAGACCCCCAUUGAAGGUAUGGCUUUAGUAAGAAUAUAUAAAAUAAAAAUUCAUGUAAGUCAAAACUUGUAUGUGACAUAUAAGUGUCAGUCAGCUAGAUUGACACUUCCUUCUUUAACUUUGCCGAUAUCUGCAAAUCUGUUCAAGUCACCAGACUCCAUAGUAGAAGAGAAAACACAGUGGAGCUCACUGUGAAUCUGACCCAGAAUAUAUUCUGAGUAUCUUCUUUAUUAGACCCAUUCCAGCACUGGGCAAACAGUAAUAAACAGAACCCCCAAACCCCUCUCCUGAAGCUAACUUUGCAAUAGUGGAGAGUGAGAACUUGGAGAAUGGAUCAGCUAAUGUGAUAUUCAGAUGCAGGUUAGGAAAGAGGGACAAGAAAACCAAAGAGUGUGAAAGGGGAGUGGUUUUAGCCACGGUAGUCAAGGAAGGCCACUCUCUUGGAGGUGACAUUUGUGAAGCUUCUGAAAAGGAGACUUGAGAAACAAGGGUAGAGGGACAGCAAGCCAGGAUCCUUGGGUAGGGAAAGAGCUUGGUGUGUCCCAAGGCCAAGGCCAGAGGCACUGCCGCAUAGAGAAAGAAGAUCCAGGGAAGAGGUCAUGCAGCAGACACAGGCUGAAUGUGUAAGCCCUUAGUAAAAACCUCCGUGGCUGGCUGCAAUGAGAAGCAGCUGGUGGGUCUUAAGCAGGCAGAAUAUCUUGAUCAGAUUAAUGCUUUAGAAGAUUACUGUGGCAGAGGCUAGACUGAGGGGGCAGGAGAGGAGGCAGGAGGGCAGCUGGGAUGCUGGGAAGCAGUGACCACUUGUGCUGGGCUUGUGGGAGCACCAGUAUACGUCUUUUCUGGCAAGGGGAAUCCCACUCACAGAGUGUGAGAUAUGGAAAGCAGAGACAGGCCGAGCAACAUUUUUAUGAAUGGAUAACUAAUUCCUCAUAUUGGUGAAGGAAACAAUAUGAAGCCACCGUGUCUUCCAGAUCAGUUCGCGCUGAUUGUCCACUGGUGAGACUCUCUCACAGAGGGGGCACAACUGUUAAGGGAAGGUCACCCAAACUUGGAUUCAAAUUUCUCAAGCACAUGCGAAACUAACAGCAAGUUCCUUUGUGAUUAAUUUGCGCUUCGCUAAGCUUGCAGAAGCCCCUGGGUUUCAUCAAACGAGGUCUCAAGGAAGAUGAUAAUGUAUUCUGCCUUGCAGAACAGAGCUACAACAAAACGCCAAAUCUGAUGUGCGUUUUCCUAGAGCCUCAGGAGUUCGAUCACCCGUACACAGUCUACUCUAAGUUCAUGACAACGUUAAGAGCAAAAAACAAAAAGAUGACCCUUUAUUAACAUUUAUGCACACUAGGAUUUGUAAUUGUGACUCGAUUAGCUUCAAAACAACCUGACUUUGACAGAGGAUGCAUUUCAUAAACAAUUGUUUUACAAAUCAUAAAAAUUAAUUUCUAAUACCAUUUAUUAAAGUAACUUUAAAGUGUUUA
rnacentral:sRNA from 1 species